UAUUCAACGGGACAGCCAUGAUUAAUAUUCACGUAAUAGUGAUUUUGUUGCUAAGCUUCAAGCUGAGUUUUGGAAUUGAAGUAAAUAUAACAAAAAAAAUCCCUCAAUCGGAAGGUACACUGUAUAGUGUACAUUUUGAUAGAAAGUUACAUAUGACAAUUCCCGAUGAAUGUGCUAAUCUCGAUUUUUGUGAGGAAAUACCCGAUUUUCCGGAGGACGAAAUUUCAAAAUUAAUAGAUUUAUUGAUUGCUGAUAAUGUCCAUUUUAAUCAGGAUCAUGAAACAAAUGUUUUCUCACACACGGAGAAGGACGAUGACGAAGAUAUUAAGCUAUGCCGGUCGAAAUCAACUUUUCUCCAACCGAAGGCAAUGAAGGUUGAUGAUGAUUGGCAUCUAGUCAUAAACUCUAAAUACAAAAUUGUUCAAUGGUUCAGAGGAGAAGAAUGUAUGGAACCACGAAAUGGAUCUUGCUCAAAGUUGGUAAACUUCAAUAGAGGCUAUUCGGGGCACUGUGUCCAAAAGCGUAUUAAACGACGUGUAAUCGUGCUGAGUAAAAACUAUGACGAAGUCAUCGCGUUGCCUCAAUCACUACCAAGUUGUUGUACCUGCAUGGCUUUCCCACUAUGAAUACGCCUUUGACUUUAUAAACGUCACCGUUUUUUUUUAAUAAUA